GUGGCCUUGGGAAGUCACAAUGAGGGUAUUCACAGGAGGGUGUGCUCCUCAGCCUCUCACACUUCGCCCCCACCACCGGCUCAGACUAAUGCAGCCCCAGGCUCCGGAGCUGCAGUGGUCCUGGUGGACACUGGACCCCAGGGAGUAGGCGUAGGAGGCUCACAGCUACCUCCCGACCAGGUGGUGGAUGGUGGCCCAGGAUGGGGUCACUCUGACUACCCUGGGAGCUCAUGGUUGAUCGACAACAAGGAGCUAACCCUAAAAAUCGGUGUUGGCAGGUCCAGGACAUGGAGGAGGACCAAGAAGUUUUGAUCUCAAGAAAUGGAAUCCAAAGCCUACUGCUGAUGGUGUGAGAAACUGCAGGAUUACAUAGAAGAGGUGGAAACUGCAGGAUUACAUAGAAGAGGUGCGCCCAGAAUUCUUUGAAAUCGCUCUUCAUUCAUGGUGAGAAGCCAAGAAGUCUCCUAGACCUGCCCCACCCUGCUGGUGCCGUUGAAGUCAUCCCUGUGAAAAGCAUCAUGGAAGAGGGGUUGGAGCCAAACACAGCACUUGGAGAAAUAAAGACAGUUAAGGAGACACUUUGAUUAAA